rnacentral:lncRNA from 1 species
AUGAUUACAGGUGAUGCUCCUAUGCAGUGGAAAACAGUUGAUAUUUUGCUUUUUUCUCAGAUCUGUUUCGUGCUGUUCUUCAGGGUUCCUAAGGUGCUGUCUUGUUUUCUCCUUCUUCCUACUCCGUUGACCUUCCAUAAUGAGCCAUCAGCAAAAUUGUCACUUGGAGGCUUUUCUUGUCAGCUUUAUCGGACAAGUUUACUUGAGACGUCAUUUUUGCCACCGAGUUUAAAUCUGCACUGAAGAGUUUCCUCUCACUUCCUCCAUUCUGUAAAAAGCUUCUGUGACUAUUUAACAGAAUCAUUAGUUCAAAAGGUACAAUGACAACUGCUAGACUCAUCCCUAUCUUGAAUACCUAUCAGCUUUCCCCAACACUUUUGACUUAGAAAAAUAGAGAAUAACCUUGAUUUUCCCAUCUUUUGACUAGAACAAAAUUGAGUGAUUUUCAAUUACAUUAUGAAAUACAGGUUCUCCAACUCCAUUGUACUGAAGCCAUAACGUGCAUAGAAGAAAGGACUUCAGAGGAGCCCUUUGGCUUUCACAAUAUAAUCCAACAUCUGAAAAGACUUAUGCUAAAGAGCUCAUGUCUAAUAAUAAAACACACCAAAUGCU